rnacentral:rRNA from 1 species
UACGGAGGGUGCGAGCGUUGUCCGGAAUCAUUGGGCGUAAAGGGCGCGUAGGUGGCCACUUCAAGCGUGCGGUGAAAGUCGGGGGCUCAACCCCUGAUCGGCCGUGCGAACUGGGGGGCUGGAGCACUGUAGAGGCAGGCGGAAUUCCGGGUGUAGCGGUGGAAUGCGUAGAGAUCCGGAAGAACACCGGUGGCGAAGGCGGCCUGCUGGGCAGUUUUGCUGACACUGAGGCGCGACAGCGUGGGGAGCAAACAGG